rnacentral:snoRNA from 1 species
AACCCAUGAUUUGGGCAUUUUCUCAAUAUCAUCUUAAAUCUUUCCCAUGUAUCAUAAAAGACUUCAUUUGCUCCUUGUUUGAACAUAGAAAUUUAAGACU